rnacentral:tRNA from 1 species
AGGAUAAUAGUUAAAAAUAACAUUUAAUUUGCACUUAAAAGGCAUUGGUAAACCAAUUUAUCUUA